AUUGAACGCUGGCGGCAUGCUUUACACAUGCAAGUCGGACGGCAGCACAGAGAAGCUUGCUUCUUGGGUGGCGAGUGGCGAACGGGUGAGUCACAUAUCGGAACGUACCGAGCAGUGGGGGAUAACUAAUCGAAAGAUUAGCUAAUACCGCAUAUCUUCUGAGGAAGAAAGCAGGGGACCAUUUGGCCUUGCGCUGUUUGAGCGGCCGAUAUCUGAUUAGCUAGUUGGUGGGGUAAAGGCCUACCAAGGCGACGAUCAGUAGCGGGUCUGAGAGGAUGAUCGGCCACACUGGGACUGAGACACGGCCCAGACUCCUACGGGAGGCAGCAGUGGGGAAUUUUGGACAAUGGGCGCAAGCCUGAUCCAGCCAUGCCGCGUGUCUGAAGAAGGCCUUCGGGUUGUAAAGGACUUUUGUCAGGGAAGAAAAGGGCGGGGUUAAUACCCCUGUCUGAUGACGGUACCUGAAGAAUAAGCACCGGCUAACUACGUG
rnacentral:rRNA from 1 species